rnacentral:lncRNA from 1 species
UCAACAUCUCUCUUCUUCCUUCUUUUUCUUUUUACGCAGACUCCAUUUCUCUCUGUUCUCUCACCUGCGUCUCUCACUUUCCCUCUCCCUCUCGCCCGGCGACGUCGCCAGUCCUCGCCGCCUCCGGCGCGGCGAGGCCGGCGUCUCUCUCCCCUUCUUCUUCCUUUCCUUCCCUUUUCCCCAAUUCUUAAUUCAAAAUCAACCUAGGGUUUCUAAUUUUCCCCCCUUCAACUCCAGUCAACCGGCGAGUUUCACUGCCACCGUUGUCCCCGUCGCACUGCCACCUACUCCAUCUCAGGUAAGCUUCUCUUUCUCCCUCUUUUUCUCUCUGUCUCUCGAUCUCUCUCUCUGCCUUCUCUGCGCUCUUAUCUCGAUCUCUCUCUCUGCCCCUUUGCUUGCAGCGGCCGCUGCGAGCCGCAGCGGCGCAUGCAGCGCCGGCGGUCGCCGCCGCUCUGCUCUUCUCUCCCUGCCUCUAUCUCGCUCUACUUUCUCUCAUGUCCGUGUCUCUCUGUUUUUGUCUUACUCUCUCUCGCUCAAACUCUCUGUGCUACUGGCGGCCACCGCGGACCGCCGUGGCGUGGGCAGUGCCGGCGGUCGCUGCCGCCAGUCGCGCCUCCGUCGCGGUGGCUCGCGGUUGCUGCUGCUGCUGCCAUCCUUUCCCCUGUUCUUAUUAUUUUCCUUCUUCUUUUCUCUUUUUCUUUAUUUUCUAUAUUUCAAUAACCUAUUUCAGUUCUAAUACCUCAAACUAAUCAAUCCCUAGUUUUUCUAUUUCAGGAAUCCAUGAUUCAGGAUGUCUCUCGGAGUGGCUACUGCUCAAGAUCCGAUUUUUAUAUGUGAUAAAUCUAUUUCUUUAUUGUUAUUAAGAAAUUGGAACUGUGUUUAUGAAGUCAGAAUUGCAUAUGUGAUUAUAGUUAUUACUCAUCACAGUUCUUGGUUGCUGCCUUUAUGAUAUAAAGUUAACUGCAUUGAAAAGAAAGACUACCUUCUUUGAUGUCUGCUGUGGAUGAUUGUGUGUAAUUUGUGUGUUGGAUGGAUGUUUACUGGAGUAGUAGUUAAGAUUUUGCAGAAUGAAGAAAAUGGUUCAACGCAUGAGGGAUGAAGCUUAUACUGACUUGAGUCGGUUUGUGUGAGCAGCUGCGUGGAAGCUAAAU